CCUACGGGGGGCUGCAGUGGGGAAUUUUCCGCAAUGGGCGAAAGCCUGACGGAGCAACGCCGCGUGGGUGAUGAAGUUUUUCGGAACGUAAAACCCUUUCGCCAGGGACGAAGCGAGUGACGGUACCUGGAGAAGAAGCAUCGGCUAACUACGUGCCAGCAGCCGCGGUAAUACGUAGGAUGCGAGCGUUGUCCGGAAUUAUUGGGCGUAAAGCGUACGUAGGCGGUUUGUUAAGUUCGAUCUUAAAGACUGGGGCUCAACCUCAGGAGUGGAUU
rnacentral:rRNA from 1 species